rnacentral:lncRNA from 1 species
CUUCAAGAAAUACAGGAUCAACUUACAGCUACUAUAAGAUGUACUAAGGAGAUGGAAGGCUUGAAGUAGAAAAUGCCAUGAUGAUAAAAACUAUUAUAAAACAGGAUGACCAAAUUGAGCGGCUUGAGAAAAUCCUGCAGCGUUCAAGUUUGAUGCCACAGGUGUUCAAGAGCUAGAUGAAGCCAAACUAGACUACAUGGAGCUCCACAGUGAUCGUCUUCACCUCCAGCUCUUUGCAUUUACUUCUUCCCUCUAUCCUACAUGUGUUUUCCUUCCCUUUCAGAUAUCAACCUAUGAAUUGCCUCUACCAAAAAGCCUACAAUAUUGACACAAACCUAGGCUAGUAUCCCUUCUAUGUCUUCCAAUAAGUGCUGUCUUAUGCCUGUCAUUGUAUGUAUGACUCUGUAUGGGAAUUGCCUGUUUGUUUUUUCAGAUUAUAGCAUACAGUUGUUGAGGGGUGGACCAUAUCAUCUUUUUCUUGUAAUUCCAGUGCUUGUCCUAGUACCUUAGCACAUGGUUGCUGAAUACAUGAAUGAAGAGUGAGAAACCAGAAGCUCUGAUAUUUAACUGCUGUGAUAAUGAAUUCAGUGUGCAACUAUGGGCAAAUUAUAUUUAAUAGUAAUUGCAUAUUGUACAUAUUUUUCAUUCUUAUUAACACUGAUAAACUUUUCAACUUAUACUGACUUUAAUAAAAUUGUAUUACUAGGCUAUUAACAUGAUAUUUUGUUUCCCAUUAAAUG